GAUCUGUAUUUUUGUGUUAAGUAGUAUUUAUUAGUCAAUUUGAGUUUAUUAAAUACUUUUAAAAAUGUGUAGGAUUUCUGUUUUAAAUAAUUGAUGGAUUUGACCAACUUGAUGGAAGUUAAUUUUAUCUAACAAUAAAACACUAAAAACGUUUGUUUUCUAUACUUCCACAAAAUUUAUUAUAACAGCUGUAAUAAUCACAUAGCGAUUCCGGUUAUUAUAUUUGUGCACCUAAUAGUAGGCAAUACAAUAGGCAUUUAACUGUGGGAAUAAAUAAUUCAUAUU
rnacentral:lncRNA from 1 species